AAUAACAACCCUAUUGCGGAAAGCUAGUAGGUUAUAGUUGCCGUUAUGAUUGUAUUGGAUACUAAAACAGGAAGGCUAUAUAAAUCAGUAUACUUAAAAACGCAGAUAACAACCCUUAGUUCACAUUUUUGGGAAGCGUUUGGAAAAUAUGAAAGAAUAAAACGCUGAGCAAAUAGGCGACUGCAACCGAAAAUCAGCAUCUUUCAAAUAUUAAAAUACACACGUUCGUUAGGCACAGUUAUUUAGACAACAGCACGACCUCUAUACAGCAGGCUUGCAGUUGUCGCUGCCGCUAAAUUAAAACCAUUUCUAAUUUUGCCGACAACAAUGGGCAGCUGUAGUGUUGCCCCUAAUAUGUGAAAUGUAAAAUUAUUCAUAGCUCUAAUAAGUCUAACGUGAUUUUAUUAACAGAAGCAUAACAUAGCGCUGAUAUAUAAUUUGUAAUAAGAAUUGAUAAUUUAAAACAAUAAAAUUUUUUUGUUUUUUUUUGUACAAAAAAGUUUCACUUUGAACAAAAUAUUUCAUUGGAGUGAAAGGUUUUAGUACGGCAACAAUGAAAUUGUGUACAUCAGCUGGUUAAUAUGUCGCUACCGCCAUCUAAAUGUUCAAAAAGCUGGCGUCAAGAGGACAAGAAAAUUUCGCUGUCGUGCAGUCGUCUUUGUGUUCAAAGCAUAAGAAAAAGUUCAUUAGAAUUUAAGGGGUUUGGUGUAGUCAAAGGCAUACAAAAAUUAGAAUUUUAAAUAAUUGUUUUGUCAGAAAAUUAUUUUAUUUUAUAAAAGUAAAGGUAGUAUUAUUAAAUAAGUUGCUAUUUGACUUGACAUAAAUUUGAAAAAAAAUAUAUGCUUUAAAAGUAAUGGCUGCUUUUAGUAAUCCAGUUCCAACCGAAGAAUCUUUUGGUGACCAUCACUAAUCCGCUAAGAUUCAUCUAAAACCUAUCCGACAAAAAAAACUCGAAUCGAAGCCUUACAUUCAUAGAAUUAACAAACUCAAAAUAAAAAACAUAACGCCAGUCCCAGUUAGUGGAACUCCAAUACAUUCAAACAAUUAACGUGGAAAUUAUUGUAACACAUCGUGCAACACAUAAGGAGUUUGCGUAAGAAAGGGACGAACGAUCACACGUUCACAAGAGUUUCGGUUAGAAUUGCCAACUGGGACUCAAGAAACUUAUAGAAACUUUAAUAAAAAUCUUUGGUAGCGCUGUUGGGUAAAUAAUCGGUCAUUUAAUCGAUUGUUGGUUUACAGGCGUACGCUUACAAAAUUUCAAUCACAGCGCCACCAUUGAUUGGCAGGUUUAGAGAAUGGCCACAAAUUAAUUUUAUUUUUAAGAAAAUUUGCCUUUAUUUUAGAUACAUUUAGCUUAAUUCCGUAAAUCCAUAAACCUUUUAAUAUUUUUAAAGAGACAAGUUUUCCCUUUUCAAAUCAGGGAAUAUUUAGUGGCAUCACCGUUAUAAUCUCUCGCCGCCUUUUGUGUACACACUCAUACUCGUGAUGUGAUGUUAUUUAUUAAAACUCGCUUAAAUUACCAUUUUACUAGACUCGUUUGCUAUAACACGUUGUAUAGAUACUUGUUACCCUUCCCAAAGCAUUUAACGCGUAAUGGCCGAUCCGCUGCUGGGUUGCUAACAAUAUACAUUGUGGCAUGACCAGCAUAUUGUAUUUUUAAAUUGAAAUAUUUAAAAGCGCCAGAAUAGCAGACGUGUAAACAUUUUGGUUAAAAGAUUGAAGCAUAUAAUAUUAAUGUGCAAUGAUUUGUGAAAAUAAUGUGUACGUGGGAAAUUAAUGUAACGAGUGAAAGGCUAAAACGUUGAUAUGGACAGUGCAAAAUACACAUUGCAACGAAGGUCAACAAAACACCAACUAACAGUAACAUAGGAGGAAAUAAACUUCGAUAAAAGUAUUGAAAGAAACAAUUUUAUUAAAUAUAUGGUAUAUGCACAUUUUAUGUUAUAUGUAUGUAUGUCUAUAAAGGAGCUGAUGUGUGCUAAUAUCUGUUAAAGUUGAUAAAUUUUUUCAUGCAUGCACAUGUAGUUAUGGGGUUAUUUCGUGGAAAGUAAACGUUUAGUGUAUGAUAUCGGGCUUUAGAAUUUUAUUACAAACUUUUAUUACAAAAACGGCUGUGUGUAUUUUAAUCGAUGUGCAUAAAUUAUGUGUAUACGUGUGGCACAAGAAAAUAGAAAGUAAACCAUAACAGCUUGGAUAUUGAGUGGUUGUUGUACUAAUACAUACCUACAAGUACAGGCGCAUUUUGGAGCAAAAGAAGUAUAUCGUCACCUGAAAUGCAAAACAUCAAAAACUUCCAAAGUGAAGUUUUUUAAUGAUUACAAUUCAUUGCAUCAUAUUACAUAUAUGUAUGUGCAAAAUUUUAAGCUAUCAGCGUAUCCAGUUUUAAAGGACAGACUUGACUAAAUAUGGAUUUGGUGUCGCAAAAUCAUCAAUAAACGCUGAAAACGACAGCAUGAUAAGUGCAAUAAUAAAUAACAUUCGUUUACAACCGUUUUUGUAUUUGAUUUUGCACUUUUAUUUAAAUUUUAUCCACUCCACAUCCCAGAGCAGUUUGAACGAUUUCAUAGCCAUGGAGCGUCCAUAUUUUGAUGAUAUUAGCCCACGAAACGUAUCGACAGUAGCUGACGAACCCGCCAUAUUAAAAUGCCGAGUUAAGAACAAAGGCAACCGUACGGUUUCAUGGAUGCGCAAACGAGAUCUUCAUAUUCUAACCACCAACAUUUAUACAUACACUGGCGAUCAGCGUUUUUCCGUCUUACAUCCGCCAGGAAGUGAUGAUUGGGACUUGAAAAUCGAUUACGCACAACAAAGAGAUAGCGGAAUUUACGAAUGUCAAGUAAAUACAGAGCCGAAAAUCAAUUUGGCAGUGUCACUGGAAAUAAAUGCGGAGGCCGAUAAUAGAGAUAAGAUAUCCGAAUCCCUAUACUAUGAUGCAAAAGCGGCGCGUGCGAAAAUUCUCGGUUCAACAGAAAUUCAUGUAAAACGGGAUAGUACAAUCGCAUUAGCUUGUUCCGUAAACAUUCAUGCAUCUUCCGUGGCUUGGUAUCAUGGCGCGUCGAUUGUUGACUUUGAUUCUCAACGUGGAGGAAUCAGUUUAGAAACGGAAAAAACGGAUGUAGGUACUACAAGCCGUUUAAUGCUGACUCGAGCUUCGCUGCGUGACUCUGGCAACUAUACUUGUGUACCAACCAGUGCAAUACCAGCAUCUGUAAGGGUUCAUGUGCUCACGGGUGAGCAACCCGCAGCUAUGCAAACAAGUAGAACCAAUAUGGUCUUGCAAACACCCGUAUAUUUAACAAUUGUCACUUUAUGUAUCAUAACUAUUGUAUCUCGGUACCAAAACUCAAUCAUAUCACAGACGGCUUCCAACUACGCCAACUGCAAUAUAUGUCAACGAAGGUGACUGGACUCUUAUCGACGAAGUCUUUUUAACAAAUUGAAUUCAUUCAUGAAUUGAAAAGCAUUCAUGAAUAUUGAUAUAGUACUUACUAUGGAAUUAUGUCAAGAUAUACUGGUGUUGUGGUAACUACGCAUACUUGCUUUGGUUCCCUAUAUACAUACAUACAUAAAAAACAAAACACCACAUUGAACAAAAGAUUUAUAAGAAAAACAAUAAUACUAAUACUCUUAAUAGAAGAUAAUAUAAUAAAAUGAAACAAUACACAUAAUAACGGUAAAUAUAAUUAUAUAAUUGAAAGAAAUUAAACAAAAAUUAUUAAAAAUUAACAAACAUAAAACUAACUGAAUAAAUGUAAAAUAUCCUAUAUUAAAUUACUACAGUUCGCAAGGGACGAUAUAUGAUUAAAAACUAGUGGAUAUUUCAAAAUACCAAUAAAAUCAAACCAAGUUGUAUAGGAUUAUAAAAUAAUGUAUUGAAUGUUAGAAUCGUCAAAGUGGCAACCCACACAUUCAGUCAGAUUAAUAUAUAUCUAGGGUUUAUGAAUUUUUGAUGAUGAUUGGCAUUUUCAUACUUUGCUGUCAAAUGUUAAGUAUGAUAUACAUAUAAGAAGGAAAAUUCAACAAUAACUUUUGUUUAAAUUAAUGAACAUCAAAAUAUUAGUUUAGAUGUUAAACGAAUUUUUUAAUAAAAAUAUGUACA